AACUCAAGGGGGNUCCCUGGCCCCCGANGAGACNACUUGAAGAGUGCAGCAAACUGUGUUAACCAAUGUNAAACGCAAACUGCUCCGAUCAUCGGUCUCUCGAACGCAAAUGGCGGCUUUGGGCUUGCCCUUAGCCACGUUCGAUCGAGUGUCGGC
rnacentral:rRNA from 1 species